CUACGGGAGGCAGCAGCAAGGAUUAUUGCGCAAUGGGCGAAAGCCUGACGCAGCGACGCCGCGUGGGGGAAGACGGCUUUCGGGUUGUAAACCCCUUUUCUCAGGGAAGAAUAAUGACGGUACCUGAGGAAUAAGUCUCGGCUAAAUACGUGCCACGCAGCCGCGGUAAUACGUAUGAGGCGAGCGUUAUCCGGAUUUACUGGGCGUAAAGAGGGUGUAGGUGGCUUUUCAAGUCGAGUGUAAAAUCUCCCGGCUCAACUGGGAGGGACCAUUCGAUACUGUUGGACUAGAGUGCAGCAGAGGAAGGUAGAAUUCCCGGUGUAGUGGUGGAAUGCGUAGAUAUCGGGAGGAAUACCAGUGGCGAAGGCGGCCUUCUGGGCUGUUACUGACGCUGAGACCCAUAAGCGUGGGGAGCAAACAGGAUUAGAUACCCGGGUAGUC
rnacentral:rRNA from 1 species